AGUGACUCACAAGAGACUACCUAUCGUGACUGUCAUUCCAAACUUUCCCAAAGAUGUCCAGAUGAAACUGGAUGCAAGAGAACCAUGUCACAGAGUCCCCAAACUCCGCAACAAAAUUAUCAGAGUGCUGUAUGAAAUGAUGGCAGAAUACACCCUGUAUCCAACCAAUACAGAGUACACUCAAGUUGCCAAGGCUCUGAUAAUGAAAUACCCUUUCCUGAGAGACAGGGAGGGAAAUGGCUAUCACACCUGGCACAUGUCUUUGAAGCGAAAAUUUAAAGUGGAACCUGCACCACUUGUCAGUGACACUGAAGUUAGAAAGCUGAAGGAGAAGUUUGGCCAUGCAAAGCAGUCCAAGGUUACUACCAUCUCUUCAAAUGUCUCUCGUAAGCCGUCAAGUCAAUCAU